rnacentral:rRNA from 1 species
GGGGAAUUUUCCGCAAUGGGCGAAAGCCUGACGGAGCAACGCCGCGUGAGGGAGGAAUGUCUGUGGAUUGUAAACCUCUUUUCUCUGGGAAGAAGAUCUGACGGUACCAGAGGAAUCAGCAUCGGCUAACUCCGUGCCAGCAGCCGCGGUAAGACGGAGGAUGCAAGCGUUAUCCGGAAUUAUUGGGCGUAAAGCGUCCGUAGGCGGUUAGAUAAGUCAGUUGUUAAAGACUGCAGCUCAACUGUGGGAGAGCAACUGAAACUGAUUGACUAGAGUAUGGUAGGGGUAGAGGGAAUUCCUAGUGUAGCGGUGAAAUGCGUAGAUAUUAGGAAGAACACCAGUGGCGAAGGCGCUCUACUGGGCCAUAACUGACGCUGAUGGACGAAAGCUAGGG